AGGCGCUAGACCGCGGCAGACCACCACUCCCACCGUUGCAUCGCAUUGAGCCGAGACAGAGAAAGCGGCGUCAAACCGCAUCCAUUCUCCAGCGCCGACGCAACCCUUCCCUCCUGGUUUCUUUCACAAAAGGAUUGGGAUUAACAGUGUCUGACUUGGACUGGAUUGACUAUUCUACAGCCCUUUGAUUUACAACCACCUUGUACUCUGACAAGCACAAUGGUAUGAAUUAAUCUUAAAUGGGCACCCACUUGGGAUGAAUCAGUC
rnacentral:lncRNA from 11 species